AACGAACGCUGGCGGCAGGCCUAACACAUGCAAGUCGAACGCCCCGCAAGGGGAGUGGCAGACGGGUGAGUAACGCGUGGGAACCUUCCCAGUGGUACGGAAUAGCCCAGGGAAACUUGGGGUAAUACCGUAUACGCCCGCAAGGGGAAAGAUUUAUCGCCAUUGGAUGGGCCCGCGUCGGAUUAGCUAGUUGGUGGGGUAACGGCCUACCAAGGCGACGAUCCGUAGCUGGUCUGAGAGGAUGAUCAGCCACACUGGGACUGAGACACGGCCCAGACUCCUACGGGAGGCAGCAGUGGGGAAUAUUGGACAAUGGGCGCAAGCCUGAUCCAGCCAUGCCGCGUGAGUGACGAAGGCCUUAGGGUUGUAAAGCUCUUUUGGCGGGGAAGAUAAUGACGGUAACCGGAGAAGAAGCCCCGGCUAACUUCGUGCCAGCCGCCGCGGUAAAAC
rnacentral:rRNA from 1 species